rnacentral:rRNA from 1 species
UACGUAGGGUGCAAGCGUUGUCCGGAAUUAUUGGGCGUAAAGAGCUCGUAGGCGGUCUGUCGCGUCGAAUGUGAAAACCCGGGACUCAACUCCGGGCCUGCAUUCGAUACGGGCAGACUAGAGUUCGGUAGGGGAGACUGGAAUUCCUGGUGUAGCGGUGAAAUGCGCAGAUAUCAGGAGGAACACCGGUGGCGAAGGCGGGUCUCUGGGCCGAUACUGACGCUGAGGAGCGAAAGCAUGGGGAGCGAACAGG